AGAUGCGAUCAUACCAGCACUAAAGCACCGGAUCCCAUCAGAACUCCGAAGUUAAGCUUGCUUGGGCGAGAGUAGUACUAGGAUGGGUGACCUCUUGGGAAGUCCUCGUGUUGCAUUCC
rnacentral:rRNA from 2 species